UACGGGGGGAGCAAGCGUUGUUCGGAUUACUGGCGUAAAGGGCGCGUAGGCGGCCAGCACAAGUCAGUUGUGAAAUCUCCGAGCUUAACUCGGAAAGGUCAACUGAUACUGUGCGGCUAGAGUGCGGAAGGGGCAACUGGAAUUCUUGGUGUAGCGGUGAAAUGCGUAGAUAUCGAAGAGGAACACCUGCGGCGAAGGCGGGUUGCUGGGCCGACACUGACGCUGAGGCGCGAAAGCCAGGGAGCGAACGGG
rnacentral:rRNA from 1 species